UUGACCUCGGAUCAGGUAGGGAUACCCGCUGAACUUAAGCAUAUCAAUAAGCGGAGGAAAAGAAACCAACAGGGAUUGCCCCAGUAACGGCGAGUGAAGCGGCAAGAGCUCAAAUUUGAAAGCUGGCCCCCUCGGGGUCCGCAUUGUAAUUUGCAGAGGAUGCUUCGGGAGCGGUCCCCAUCUAAGUACCCUGGAACGGGUCGUCAUAGAGGGUGAGAAUCCCGUAUGGGAUGGGGUGUCCGCGCCCGUGUGAAGCUCCUUCGACGAGUCGAGUUGUUUGGGAAUGCAGCUCUAAAUGGGUGGUAAAUUUCAUCUAAAGCUAAAUAUUGGCCGGAGACCGAUAGCGCACAAGUAGAGUGAUCGAAAGAUGAAAAGCACUUUGAAAAGAGAGUUAAAAAGCACGUGAAAUUGUUGAAAGGGAAGCGCUUGCGACCAGACUCGCCCACGGGGUUCAGCCGGCAUUCGUGCCGGUGUACUUCCCCGCGGGCGGGCCAGCGUCGGUUUGGGCGGCCGGUCAAAGGCCCUCGGAAUGUAACGCCUCUCGGGGCGUCUUAUAGCCGAGGGUGCCAUGCGGCCUGCCCGGACCGAGGAACGCGCUUCGGCUCGGACGCUGGCAUAAUGGUCGUAAGCGACC
rnacentral:rRNA from 1 species